rfam:Vibrio genomosp. F6 str. FF-238 FF-238_contig_12, whole genome shotgun sequence.
GCCAACUAGUAAUGACCACCACCAUUAUUAUUACCGAUAUUAUAAAUGUUGGGGCAGGCUGCUAAGCGAAAUUUUUCAAAAAAAGGCCUGUAUCUAACGAGAUACGGGCCUUUUUUUU